GUGUUUUUCAUGGUUCUUGUGACCUCUGCAGAAGCCCCAGCUCUGGAAAGAAAGGAGCUGUUAAAUCCAGAACAUUUUCCUUAGAAUGUAUUUAUCAAAUCAGAGAUGAAAAGAAAAUGAAGGAACUGGGCCACAAGGAAGAAAAGAAGUGAAGAAUCCAAUACAAUCUGGGUCAUUUCAAACCAGCCACAGAGAACCUGCAUUUGGGGGACAUAUUUCAAGGAAGACACAGCCCACCAUUUAGAAUCCUCCCGAAUCUAUGAGACAAAGUGCUUCGGUGAAGCUCAGAGACUCAGUUUGGAGUUGCUACCAAAGCCUUCCCAUUGGAGAUCUUCCCAGAGAGAUGAUCCUUCUGCCUUCAGUUCAAUUGGCCUUUUUGGGGCGCUUCAUGCUUGUUGGCCAUGACGGUAGGAGGCUAGAGAGGCCACCGAAUGAAUGCUCCCCCUGCUGUCAAGGGAUUCCUAGACUCGAAGUGUCAAGUAUAUUGAACAUCAGAGAGCAUCUUUAAAUUUUCAGAUACCUUGGAAUUCUCUAAGCCUUGUUGGUAAACAUGCCACAGCAUCUAAAGCCCCUAAGAGGGCCUUCCAGUAACUUGAAUCUUUUCUAUAAGCCAGUAUUUGCUUCAAGCUCCAGAUAAAAGAUGGAAAGCUGAGAACUCAGUUGGGAAGCUAUCACACCGGUAUGGAGACAAGACACAAUAAUGACAUGAGCUGGGCAUGAACCGAGGGAAUGGAAUGGAGAGUUCACUUCCAAGGGUGUGUUUGGAGAUAAAAUGUAUAGGAAUUGGUAACCAACGGAUGUGAGAGAUUAAAGAAAAUAAGACAUGAAUGAAGCUUAUGAGCUUUCACUCUGGAAAACUGUCAAAAAAAGGCUAUAUCUGGGGAGGUGAUAAAGCAUAAAUAUGAGUUUGGGAUAUCUGAUAAUUAUUUUUCAAUAUGUAUGUCCUGGAAAACCACACACAUGAAAACUUCAAAAAAUCAGUUUCCACAGAUGAGUAGGUUUAGAAAAUACUAUGAAUCUUAUGCCAUUGGAGAUUUACAAUGCGCAUCGAUGUAUUAAAGAUCAAAGUUUUCUGGUUUUUUUUUUUUCCAAAAGAGACCCAUAUAUUUUCAGGGUAACAGUUCCCAAAAAUAUUUGACAAUAGAACCUUUUGCUCAACCUCCAUGAACAUUGCAAACCUAGCAUUCUGGGUAACAAUUGACACUUCAUAACAACUUACAAGUUGCUCAACCCAUCAGUAAAUACCCAACAAAAACUGCCGAAAAUGGCAUUGCAACAAGGUAGUCACCAAUUUCUUGAGCCUCACAUGAGACACAGCAAAGUCUUUAAGAGCCAAUACUUCUUGGAAUUUAUAAAAAAAAAAAAAUCAAAAUGAGCUUCAUUCUUUUGGCUCUUUCGGCAUUUGUAGUUCCUUCUAUCAGAGCUAAUACAUAAUAAGGUCUUUUAAACUACGCCAAGAAAAUUUGUACCCUGGGGAAUAAAAAUGUUUCCUAGCUGAAAAAUUUACCAACUUUUUAGCCUAAUACAAGAGUUACCUGUUGCUAUAGAACAAAUGUUUGCCCCUCCCCCAAAGCACUGUCCUAUGUCGAGAUUUUGAAAUGAAAAAGACAUCAGGGACCAGAUGAUAAGUGGUGUGUCAGCCAAUAUUUCUUAAGUGAGUGCUGCUUAUAAGAACCUGACAACAGGCUGACAUCACAUGAUCUUCCCUGGAUUCUGAAUCCCCAUUUGGAAAGUGAGGAGAAUUUUUAGUAAAGCUCACUGCGGAGCUGGAAAUCCUCGAUGGUUCCUGAAGCUGAACAGAAGGGGUUUCUGCACUUAUAAACGCAGACACUGAAAAUCACCCAAGGAGACAUAAUUUGCUUCCAACAUAUUGUGUUUUUUCGGCUUCAAAUUUCCAAGUGGGACCCCGAAUUGACCAGCAUGUUAGCUGGAGAAGGAAGAGUACAGCAGUUGAGACCAAGACUUAAGUGGGGUGAAUCCUAAUUCUGCUCUUUAUCACCAUGAAACUAACGAAGUUACGUAAACUUGUUUUCCUUGUUCCCUCGGCUCUAAUAAUGCCUAGAUCUAGGGUUUUGUGAAAAUUCAAAGGCUAACUCACAGAAGCCUGAAUUAAGAGGAGCUAUGAUUGUCAGCGCAAAGGCAAUGUCUGCAUAUAACCUGGAUGGCCCUGAUACAGAAAACAUUGAUAGAUUUCACAGGGGUGACAAAAUAAUGACAAUACCUUAGAUUUGAAUAGUGUUUGAGAGCAUAUGAGUGAGCGAUCCCACAUCUCUAAGCCCAUUCGAUAAUAAAGCACACUUCUCAAUAGAAUCGUGUUAGCAGAGCUGCGUCCAGCGGCUGGUGGGAAGCGGAGAAGCACAGCGAGCCAGGCAAGCCCAGCACCGACAGCCAUUAGUGAGAAAUAACAGAUGGUGUCUCAUUUUUUGCUAUAGGCAAAGAUCCAAAUGACAUGACUAAAUAGAAAGACAGCCCCAUAGGACUGCAUUUGGGCUCCUACUGAGCACGGAGCCUGAAAGGCAGGGACAUUUUUAAUAACCUUUCUUUGACAAGCUUAAAGCCAUUUAAUGUCUAAACCUGUCAUACACAUCCAGCCAGGAGAACAGACCUCCAGAGAAAACCCCAGAGCACAGUCUCACCUCCCUGUGAAAAAAUAAAAAAUGCACGCACACUUUACAAAAAAAAAAAAAAAUUAGACAGCAAGGUCACAAAAUGCUAACUUUCCAUUUAAAUAAAAACAGUCAUUGCCCUUCUCACGGCAACCUUCUAGACUUGCUUUCCAUUCUGCCCUGGAUGAAAAGUUGAGUUUCCAUCCAGUCAUUAUUUAAAUAAAACAAUAGAGGACUCAUGGCAGCUUUGGCUGAAAUCUUAGUUCAGUCUAAUUAGAAGGAAAUGCAUUAUAAAUUAUUAUGUGUUGAAAGUCUGCACCAGGAAAAAGAAAGAAAAUGAACUCAUAAUUCUUUAUAUAUUGGAUUUCACUUUUUCAUCAAUCCCAAUGAAACAACAAGUAAUUGCUUCUUUUUUAACAGCUUCUGAAGUAAAUGGCAAAAAAAAAAAUCGGUAAUCAACAUGAUUAAAAACUUUAUUAUUUUGUCUAUUGCUAUAAUAUUCAGUAGCGGUGCACCAGUGCUUCUGCAAAAACAUUCACUAUAGAAAAUUUAUCUAAUAAAUUGUAUUUGUUUUGCAACGCAUCAGCUAGUAGGAGCAUUCGUGUGGACAUGAAUUUGAUUUUCCCUGGAGUCCAUGGCUUCAUUUUGCCCCAGCUGUUUCAUUUUCUUCUCAUCACCAAAUCAUUUUAUUAUAACAACUUCCCAGGCCUUACUCUCCUAUAGUUUUAUGUGGCUGCAAACACAGAAGAGCUGCCUGAAUUCUGAGUAGUUGGUUGAAGGUUUACGUUUAAAUUCUGCCUUAAAUGUACAUUUGUCUGGAGGAGGAAGGCUGAUAGGGAAAAAAAAAUAGCUAGAAACGUACAUUUUAUCAUUACUUAACUAUACCACGUGAACACUUACUUACAAGAUCUGCAAUGAGGAAAAAAAUCACUUUAGUGAAAACAGGAAUAAUAUCAUCUGUUCUACAGUUUAACGAAUUAAACUCAAAUAAAAGAGGCUUACUUAUUGCUGCCUGUAGACAGACCUGGCGUUACUAUCCAUAUCUCCCUGAUAAAUCUCUCAUGCCAAAAGCAGUAUUUCAAGCUUGAGAUGUGUGUUUACUUGCCAAUUCGGUAACACUGUUAAGUCCAUGAAAGAGGCCCUUUUCCUUGUUUGCCACCGUAUUUCCAUGCCAUGCAUGUAGGGUAGGUUUUUAAGGACUAUUUGUUGAAUAUGUAAUGUAAUUAGCAGCACAAGGAUGGAUAGGACUCCCAAAGCGCAGUGAAACAGAAGCAAGCUGGAACACAUUUCACCCUGACCACGCCAGAGGAAGUUAGCAGGUGAAAACUGUGGGUCCCAGUGAUGGAAGGGAAAAAUGUUCAAGCUCAUUCCUUCAUCAGGGCCAUUUCCUAAACCCCUAGCCUUUGCCUUCUCUCCUCCAUCCCUCCUUUUCAAAGGACGUCUACGCUCUUCCGCAGCUCCACAUAACCUCGCAUGUCCAUGGGUAUCUGGAUGCUUCACCUCUGAUGGCCACUCUUCUCACUCUGGUGAACCAAAGACUCGUUGCAUUCCUGUCCCCUCUUUCUGCAGCGAGCUCUCUCUCCUGACCAUCACGCUUACGUUGCUGCUUCUGGUGGAGGCCACCUAGCAAAUCCUCAGAAAAUGAGUCCAGACACAAGGCCGCGAUUGGAGAUGGUUGGAAUCACAAUUUUCAACUUUAUGAUGGUGCAAAAGCCAAUGCACUCGGUAGUAGCCGUUCUUUGAAUUUUGGAUUUUGGCCCCUUGCUGGUCUAGAGGGUACGCGUGUGGCAGGCCGCAGCCUGUGCUGCUGGGCAGGGCGGCCAGCGCAGCUCCCCGUCUGCCACAUGGUCACAGGGAUAGACAAUGACACAUUUAGAAUCAUUCUGGACCCAUUCAACCAAUCUCUCUCACUUUCAGUUCGGUAUUCGAUGGAUUACCUGAGCUACUCAGCACUUUAUUAUAAAAUAGGCUUUGUGUUAGAGGAUUUCACCCAACUGUGGGCCAACAGCUGAGUGUCCUAAGCCCGCUUAAGGGAGGCGAGGCUCAGCUGUGACGUGCCUUGCUCAGGGUGUUAAGUGCAUUUUCAACUUGUAAUAUUUUCAACUGAUGAUGGAUUUAUCUGGACAUAACCCCGUUGUAAGCUGAGGAAGCUCUGUAGCGAGCAAAUGGGUGUAUUGCUUUUAUAGUCAGAAAUUCUAAUGUUACUGUUUUUUUUUUUUUUUUUUACAAAAAAUUCAUUCGCAUUGUGAAUCUUGACAAAACCAUUGUUAAAGAGCUUGCAGCCAAUAUGGGCUAUGAACACCUGGUUUAUUUCUCUGUACAAGAACAUAAAUAUCUCAACAUUAACAACAUGAACUUCAAACAUGUCGUUCCAGGAAAAUACAAAUGACACAUCCCAUUUCAAGGGUUUGAAGACAUACGUGACCUCUCAGUGCUAAAUGCCUGGAGGAUAGGGGCACCUGGGUGGCGCUGUUGAUUUGUGGCUGAGUCUAGACCCUCAAGUGGCUGAGUCUUGAUUUCGCUUCAGGUCAUGAUCUCAGGGUGGUGAGAUCAAGCCCUACCUGGGGCUCCCCACUGGGCAUAGAGCCUGCUUAAGAUUCCCUCCCUCUCCCUUGGCCCCCCAUUCCUCUCUAAAAAUAUAAAGCAUUAAAAAAAAAAAAAAAACCCUUGAGGGUUGUCUUCUCCAUAUCAGUAUAACUGCUCAGCACUGAGAAAGAAUUAUUUUACUUAAAAUAAUGUAAAAAUAAUAGGCAUAAAAAUAAAUGUUUUUUUCCUUGUUCCUUCUCUGAUGUUCAAAAUCCUAGUUUCUCUCUAGGCUACCUUUAAUUCUUUAUAUAAAAAUAUUCUUCUUCUUAAGAAUCCUAUAGCAUCUAAAUAGAUUGUUUUUCAUGGUUUAACCGGCAAUGCUUUCUCUCAAACUGGAUUUUAAGUUCCCCGAGGGCAGACAAGGCCUAUGUGUGUUCAUCUUUAUAUCUCUAGGUUUAGCACAAUAGCCAGUCAAGAGUAUUUUAAAAGGUGUGUUUAUUGAGAGUCAAACAAAAACCAGUCCGUUGUUUUUCCCAGUCUGUGGAGGGACUCGAGGACUAAUAUGUGUACAGCAAGCUCCUCCAAUGUUUGCUUAAAAUACAUCGGGCUUAUAGAUCAAUUUUCCAUAUAGACAAUUUCUCCAAUCAACAUAACAACAUUGUUAUUACUGAUAAAACAUCAUUGGGGUGGGUACAUAUAUUAAAUCAUCACAGUGUACUCUUUAAAUAUCUUACAAUUCCAUUUGUCAAUUAUAUGUCAAUAAAGCUGGGGAAAGAAUUUAAUAAAAGAAGGCUGGUUUUAAAAGGAAAAAAAAUGGCUUUAUUCAUGAAAGAUAGUAUUUAUCAUCUGACUCUUGCCUAAAGCUCCUCUGGAGAAGUGCUCAAAUCCAUCCUAUAAGCCUGGAUUAAAGCUUAAGUGAUAUCUGAAUAUAAUAAUGCAAAAAAUCACUUGUAAUAAAACCUCGUGUAUAUA